ensembl:lncRNA
CAAAGUGACAAGUAAGAAAAAAAAUCUCAGGCCCAUAUUGGAGGCUCCCCGUGGAAAACUGAACUUGACCUUGUGGAGCGAUUAGAACAGCGACUUGCUCAUCUAUGGAGAGUGACUUAGGGUUUUUUCUCUUCUGAGUACCGCCAUGGAGGAAGAGGAGGAGGACAAACCACUCAUUCUUUUCCUGCACCACAGAAGAUCAUUAGAGCAGGCAAACAGAGAGUCGGAGAACGAGAGGGAGGAGGGAGGGAGGGAGGCCACUUCAUUGUAUAGAAACACAGAGAGAGACAGAGCAAAGCGAGGGAGAGGGACAGAGAGAGAGAGAGAAAGAGAGAGAAACUGAGAGACAAAGACCAUCUCAAAGUAAGAAAGACACACAAUGUGUUUAUUAAUUUCUCAGAGACAGAAAAAGAGAGAUGGAUGUAGAGAACAGUAUCAGAGAGAGAGAAAGAGAGACAGAGAGAGAGGAGAAUUAUUAUUAUUUUUUUUUUUAUUAAUUAUCAUGUUGACAAAGCCAUCUGUCCUUGUGCCGUCUUGAGUGCGGAGCUUCUGUCUGGCAGAUCUCUUCGCCUGACCACCAUGGCGUCACCUCCACUGACCAGCAAAUAGAGACCUGCCUGCAUCCUUCCCUCAAAACAAACCCUCCUGGUGCCACGCAUCCCGUCAAUCACUGUCAGUCUGAACAAAGACAAGAUCCAAUCGACAGCCACAUGGUCCUCCGUGAUAAAAGCAAAAUGGUAGUUCCGGUUUAUUUUGAUCUACAAAGAAGGGCCAUUCUUCUGAAAAGCUUGCAGGUUUGUAUUGUGUGUCCCUUUCUUAUCUUUCAUGACAAAUGCCAUUUUGUUUGUUUCAUGCUGAUCACAGAUCACUAUGGUGCCGAGGGGUUUUCACCUUCAAAGCCAGCAGACCUCUCCCAGGUCACACUGGGAAAUGCUGACAAACCCGAUGCACAGAGGAAAAAAAGAACUCCUAAAUUGAAGUGAUCUUCAUGGAUUCUUAUUCAGCGGGAGCAGAGAUAAGCAGUCAGUAUCUCCUUGGAGAGGAUUUAAAAAGAGCUCUAAAAUUCACUCCAGCAGCUGUGGUGAGAGAGAGCACAGAUAGGGGACACAGGGGCCUUACGAAGCACGGAGAAGAGGAGUUUUUCCACGGAGGGAGCUGUGAAAU